rnacentral:lncRNA from 1 species
ACAGUCAGAAGUAAAAGGCUGAGAGCAGAGGCAUUUGAAUACUGUUCCCCCAGGACCUUGAAUCUACAGGUGUGGCUGGUCUGGUCUGGGGUAGGAUGCGUGCUGACUUUCUGCUUUCACAGGGAGAGGGUCAGUAGUGAUGCGUGAACUUACCUCUUGGGGGCCCCUCAGAACAGCCUCCACCCCCAGGUGAGGCUGUAAACUUGGGAAAGACAAAGCGCAGGCCACCAUCUGUUUCCCAUCUCCAGCCCCCGAGUCUCUGCAGGCUCUUGAUGCAGGCUGUGUAUGGACCCAGGGACCUGGCUGCAGCCAGCAGGCAGCAGUUGAUAGCACGAGGGCUACAGAAUGACAUUUGGAAUCUGGAAUGAGGCUUUGGCCCUAUUGUCACUUUCCUCUCCUCUGGCUUUGGCUCUGCUCUUAGGUUUGGGAUUUUAGCAGUGAAUUGUCCAGCUGCAGAACAGACCUUGUUUUGGGAGCUGCAGAUGUGGUCUCUGGAGAUGAGGCAGAGGCAAUAGCCCUGAGAAGUGAGCCGUGUUCUAUUUCUGGGUUUGGCUUGGUAGAAAAAGUAGGAAGGGUGGGGAGGUGGGGCCACCCUUAAGGAGGCUGGUUUGCUGGUUUUGGUGUUAGUGGGAUCAUUGACAUCACAUCUCACUUUCUCUUCAAAGCCAAGAUUCUGUCUUCCUUCUUCCAUGUAUCUCUAUUCUGCUGCAGGACAGCAAGGUUUCUCAGUCUUGAUUCCUCAACCCCGCCCCAGCUUCACCUUAAUGUAAGAGGACCAGAGUCAGUGCCAAGGUCAGCAGAUUUCAGGAGCAAUAGAAAACACUAUUUUCCCUGGGAGGAACAGCAUUUUUCUGAAUGCACUAGGUAAAUUUACUAUUUCUGCUGAUGGCUAAGCAAAAAUUAGAGUUAGCUCAAAACUUUUUUUGAAAUAGGUGGAACAUAAUUACCAAUAAAUUAAUUGGUAAAUAAUUUGGAUUUCUUGAUAGACAUCAGAGAGUGGUCAUUUGGAGAAGGAACAGUUGUGGAUUGAUUAUUUUUAGGUACCUCUGCAAAUAAGUUCAGUGAUGAUGGCUUUCAACAGCAGUUCUCAAAGUGCGGCCUGGGAAGAUGACAGCCUCAGCUUCCACUGGGGGCUUGUUAGAGAUGCAAAUUCUGGGCUACUCAAGACCUAUUAAAUCAGAAACUCUGGGGGGCGGGACUCACCAUUCUGGAUUUUCACAAGCCCUCCAGGUGUGCCUGAUGCAGUCUCAAGUUUGAGAACUGCUGGCUUUUACAGAACAUAAAGCGAAGGUUGAGCCCCAAGGGAGUGGUGGGAAGUUGCUCUAAGAAGAGACAAGGUGGCCCCUCUGGCCUGUGUGAGCGGAAGGCAGCUGCGCUGUGAGCAAGAUCUCGGGAGAUGAGAGUCUGAAGCUUAUGUGUGGCGUGUGGAAAGAAGAGGAACCAGAAAAGAAUGUUUGUGAAGUUCUGGCUUGAAUCUCGUGCCGGGAGUGUGAAGAAGGUCCUUGCUUCCCCUUCACCUUCUGCCAUGAUUCUAAGUUUCCUGACGCCUCCCAGCCGUGCUUCCUGUUAAGCCUGUGAAACUCCUUUGGAAUGAGUACACAUCCAGGAGUGAAGAAGACAAGCUCAACUGCCAUUCUCUGAGCAGUUCAAGGCAUACUGAGUUGCGGGAGUUGUGUGGUGGUCCACUCUGACUGCAAGCACCCCUUUCUUGAACCGAACAGAGUCAAGUGGAAUCAAAGGACAUUACCUGUUGAUUCUUGGGCAAGGCCCAGAAUUUGGUGGACAUACUUAAAGAAGAAAGGAAUCUUCAGCUAAAGUGUCUACGAUCAAUUCAGAUUUGGAGGGCAUGGAUCUUCUGACAGUAGGGGCCAUUCUAGGAUUUUUUGGUUGAAGAGAUGAACUUCAACUUGGUUCCAGAUGGGUGGUCCAGCUAUUCUGCUGACAACAUUUUUCAGGGCAAGGCUUUUGCUACUGGAAUGAUUUAAGGAAGAUCCCUCAGUGUUUCAGAGUAAAGAUAUUUCUAAAGAAGUACCUGUGUCAUUGCCCAUCUUGAAGAUUGACUUUUAUGGAUUGCUCAAAUACUGAUAUCAGCUCAAUGUCAAUAUAUACUCCUACAUAUAAAAUCCAUCUUCUAAUCAUAAUCACUAGGUAAGAUGCUAGUGCAAGUUGAAGUUCUUAAAGGAGAUGACCUGAACAGCCUUCUUAGUGUACCAGGGAGACCAGAUUGAGUUUAAACUAUGUUUACCCUGCACUCAGACACGCCUAGGUGUGUCUGGGAGAUUAGUAGAUGGUGUUCAACAAGGAUCUAUUUAAACAAGGGAGACAUUAAUUUGGAUUCCUUUGGUUGUAAAUUUCCAAAAAAAAAAAAAAGGUCUAAGUUAAAAUGUUUAAGGAGGAUGGGGGAAGAAUGUGAUGACUGUUAUAGUUAAUGUGAGCUUUAGGCUUGGCCGGAUCCAG